AUUUUUAUAGCUUAAUCUAAAGCAUAGCUCUGAAAAAGCUAUUAUAGCCCCAGGCUUAAAAAUA
rnacentral:tRNA from 1 species